CAUAAUCAUGAUCGCUUGAAACGUGUUCCUUGUUCUUUGUGAUUUGCUUAUUGGGCUGCAUAUGAGGAGCGAAAUGUUAGAAGCAGCCCAAUAUUACGACAGCCCCAAUAAUUAACAUCCUGUGAAAUUGAUACCUGUCUGACAACGUUAGCAGAAACAAGGCAUUUAUUAUUGUUCUGUAGUACAGCUCUUGUAUUGGAUUUGUCUGGAUUGGGCAGUUGUAUCUAUUAAGUGUAAAGUAGACAGCACUUAUUUACUUAACUGGACCACUACAAUCCCUUCCAAAGGUCCAGAAUGGGAACAGUGAGGCCAAUUCUUUCAUUUUUGCUUUAGGGUGACAACAUUUGUGCUUGACAUCAAAAGAUGAAUAUGUGUCAAGAGAUCAACAGUUCACCUUUUAUUUUCCAUUCUUUACCCCUGCAUCCGAUAAUAAAUGGAUGUAGAAUUGUUUAAAUAUUUAGAGAGGGUGGGGUAAAUCAAUGAACGUGGUAUUUUUGUUAUAACCCAUCUAGUUUUCAAAUGAUGUCAAGUAUUGGAGUAAGUGACUGACAGGUAUGUUUUGUUUCUCAGGUGUGUCCUAAUACAUUGACCAUUGAAAAAAAAUAAUAACUGAAUACGCGUUACAGAUGUAACCAACAUGGAAACGAGGGAGUGGAUAUGAGUAAAGAACAAGCAAUUGAGAAGCCGAGAGACGUUCACAAACAUUGGGGAAAUUAGUGGAAGAUUUUGGACUGCCCAUGUAAAUCCUGAGACUUAAACCUUACAGAGCAUGUAUUUUACCUGCUAAAGAGGAGAUUGAAGGGGGUGACUGGUCAAAACAAACAACCAAAACAAGCUGAGCUUAAAGCAUUGGAAAGCCUGGGAAAGCAAAAA